rnacentral:tRNA from 1 species
CCCUGACGGCUCAGAUGGUAAAGAAUCUGCCUGCAAUGUAGGAAACCCAGGUUUAAUCCCUGGGUCAGGAA